GCCGUCUAAGUUUUCGGUUAAAUCUAUGCGCUUAACGUAUAGGCCGCCGAAAAUACUGGACAGCUAGGGAGUGGGAGAGGUACACGGUACUCAAUAGGAAGGGGUAAAAUCCUUUGAUCUAUUGAUGACCACCUGUGGCGAAGGCGGUGUACCAGAACACGUUCGACGGUGAGGGAUGAAAGCUGGGGGAGCAAACCGGAUUAGAUACCCGGGUAGUCCCAGCUGUAAACGAUGCAGACUCGGUGAUGCAUUGGCUUGUGGCCAAUGCAGUGCCGCAGGGAAGCCGUUAAGUCUGCCGCCUGGGAAGUACGUACGCAAGUAUGAAACUUAAAGGAAUUGGCGGGGGAGCACCACAAGGGGUGAAGCCUGCGGUUCAAUUGGAGUCAACGCCAGAAACCUUACCCGGGGCGACAGCAGAAUGAAGGUCAAGCUGAAGACUUUACCAGACAAGCUGAGAGGUGGUGCAUGGCCGUCGCCAGCUCGUGCCGUGAGAUGUCCUGUUAAGUCAGGUAACGAGCGAGACCCCUGCGUCUAGUUGCUACCAUUACUCUCUGGAGUAGUGGAGCGAAUUAGACGGACCGCCACAGUUAAUGUGGAGGAAGGAAGGGGCCACGGCAGGUCAGUAUGCCCCGAAACCCUGGGGCCACACGCGGGCUGCAAUGGUAUUGACAAUGUGUUCCGAAUCCGAAAGGAGGAGGCAAUCAUCAAACGAUACCUCAGUUAUGACUGAGGGCUGUAACUCGCCCUCACGAAUAUGGAAUCCC
rnacentral:rRNA from 1 species